GACGAACGCUGGCGGCGUGCCUAAUACAUGCAAGUCGAACGCAGUGGGGACGGGUGAGUAACACUUGGUCAACCUCCCAUCAACGGGGGUAACACUUGGAAAUAGGUGCUAAACUGAUACUGAUGUGUGGACCCCCGGUGCAUUAGCUAGUUGGUGAGGUAACGGCUCACCAAGGCCACGAUGAAUAGCCGACCUGAGAGGGUGAUCGGCCACACUGGGACUGAGACACGGCCCAGACUCCUACGGGAGGCAGCAGUAGGGAAUCUUCGGCAAUGGACGAAAGUCUGACCGAGCAACGCCGCGUGAGUGAAGAAGGUUUUCGGAUCGUAAAACUCUGUUGUUAGAGAAGCGGUAUCUAACCAGAAAGCCACGGCUAACUACGUGCCAGCAGCCGCGGUAAUUC
rnacentral:rRNA from 1 species